UACGAGGGGGGCGAGCGUUAUUCGGAAUCACUGGGCGUAAAGCGUGCGUAGGCUGUUUUGUAAGUUGGGAGUGAAAUCCCAGGGCUUAACCCUGGAAUUGCUUUCAAAACUGCAAGACUCGAAUUCGGGAGAGGAUAGCGGAAUUUCCAGUGUAGCAGUGAAAUGCGUAGAUAUUGGAAGGAACACCGGUGGCGUAAGCGGCUAUCUGGACCGACAUUGACGCUGAGGCACGAAAGCGUGGGGAUCAAACAGG
rnacentral:rRNA from 1 species